AUUUUUCUUUUUUACAGAUGAGAGUAUCAUGCUAUCAAUAAGAAUUGAUGUUUUUAAGCAACGUUUAUUCUUAUUAUUUACCUGGGUUAUCAGAUUUUGGAUCGUAAAUUUGGUAAGAGCACCAUUUCUGGACGCCUUAUUCUAUGGACAUACCAUUAUCAAGAUUUCACGGCAUUUGUAAGAAGUGAAGAACGAUGUGGCUUUUAUCCAGAAAACGUAUCAAGUUUUAUAAGAAGAG